rnacentral:tRNA from 1 species
UCCCAUAUGGUCUUGAUUCCUGGUUUUCAUCCAGGCGGCCCAGGUUCAACUCCUGGUGUGGGAG